rnacentral:rRNA from 1 species
UUUCCAGCCGCCGCGGUAAUACGUAGGGGGCAAGCGUUGUCCGGAUUUAUUGGGCGUAAAGCGCGUGUAGGCGGCUAUGCAGGUCCGCUGUGAAAACUCGAGGCUCAACCUCGAGACGUCGGUGGAAACCGCAUGGCUAGAGUCCGGAAGAGGAGAGUGGAAUUCCCGGUGUAGCGGUGAAAUGCGCAGAUAUCGGGAAGAACACCCGUGGCGAAGGCGGCUCUCUGGGACGGUACUGACGCUGAGACGCGAAAGCGUGGGGAGCGAACAGGAUUAGAAACCCGGGUAGUCC